UUACGACCAAAUCACGUUGAAACACUGGCUCUCGUACGAUCACCGAAGUUAAACAGCAUAAAGCCUGGUCAGUACCUAGAUGGGUGACCG